AAGAACUUCUUCACUGAAAGGGUUGUUAGACAUAGGAAUAGGCUGCCCAGGGAAGUGGUUGAGUCACCAUCCCUCAAUGUCUUUAAAAGACGUUUAGAUUUAGAACUUAGCGAUAUCGUUUAGUGGAGGACUUUUUGGUGUUAGGUCAG